CUUCUAUAAUAAGAUCCCCAAGACUGUGAUGGACCUGCCAAUGCAUAGCUUUAAGCAAUGUGUUAAAAAACAUCUACUUAGUCGAGGGUACUACAACAUUGAUGAGUUCCUUAAUGAUAAAGAUGCUUGGAGGUCGUUGGAUCAGCUUCCACCUUCACACAGAAAGUAAAACUAUAAAAAAUGUAAACAGUAAUUGUUAUCAAUUGUAAAUUAUAAUACUGUAUGACUUUUUCAAAAGAGCAACUGUUGAGUUUCUUGCCGGUAUCUUCUCAGCAGAACCUGCCUUCCGAACCGGUGGUAGAAUCUUUACAAAUAGUCAACUGACGUGUCAAAAGUGCUUGUAAACUGAGCCUGUCGUGAAUGAUGUCACGAAAAUUAAUAGUAAUAUCGAGGAAGCCCAGAGGAGCUCAGAGGAUAGCACUCAGAGUGUCCGACAAAGUCAACAGGGUUGCCAAGUCUGAAGUCUGAGAUUCGAAGAAACCAGCUGUGGUGAUAGAACCUUAGAUUAGGAGAGAAGUUUCAUGCGGAGCAGAUCAUAGUUCCUCGACACACCUACAUGUUGGGCAAUCUACUAAAAUAUGUGAGUUCUCAAACUUGUAUAUCUAUCAAUUCUUUUUUAUUUAAUUGACGCUGGCCCUAUAGCUCUCAGGCUUAUACUAUAUGGGGUUAAACAAUCAGGGCAAAGCGCCACAUGGUGGAGGUGCUGGGAUACAGAUAAUAACUAUUCUAUGAACACCAGUAACUAAUUACUUACUAUUGAAGUAAAAGAGAGAUAAGGUUUGACAAAGUUGACAAUGUUUGUGAACUCAUAGAUUUUAGAUAGCAAGUUAUACACUAAUAAAGUAGAAAGAAUCAAUAAAUUUAUAUUUAUGAAUAUAUCACAGUACACAGUGGCAGACAUAGGGUUGUGAACUAGAAUAUGCAAUGUAUGAUUCAUUUAGAACAGAAAAUUUCCUUUGCCAAUCAAACUUAAGGUUGUUGGUACGGGGUACAUUCAAGAAGUGUGAGGCAUCAUAAUAAGCUGACAGUAUAGAUAUGGUUUAGUGUAAGACUUAAGAAAUAUAUUAAAAAAGAAAAAAAAAAAAAAAAAACAAAACAAUAAUAAUAAUAAAAUAAAAAUAUAUAUAUAAAGUGAGAAAGGGAUGAUAUAGGCAUUAGUGAGUAAAUCAUUUAUUUUAAGAAGACAAUAUUGGUAUGAAAGCUGAGAAAAGAUUCAUAGACAGUGUAGGAUUCAGUAUCCAUAUAUCAUGUCUUGAGUAGGAAUAGGAUAUUAUACAAUAUUAAUAAUUAUUAUUAUGCAAUAUGUUAUUUAAUAUUAAACUGGACCGUGUGGCUCAAGUGUUUAUGGGGUUCAAGAUUAUGUCUCAAACCGCGAAGUUUAAUUAUAAUUUAUUUGUUUAUUAGUGAACAUUUACAAAUAUUAAGGAAUAAUGAGAAAUAAUGUAUAUAAAUUAACCUACAUUUAUCACAAUCUAAAUUAUUUGUUAUUAAAUCACAUGCAAGUAUAUAAAUUUCUAAUUUGAUCUAUAGUUCAUCAUUCAUCAUUAACAGCCCAUAUUCAGUUCACGGUUGAGCACGAGUCUCUUCUCAAAAUGAGAGGUCAGUGGAGAAAAUCAGGUCUUAGCCCGCCACUCUGACCCAAUAUGGGCUGGUGGGUUUCGAGCGCGUAAAGUAGGGGAAAACUAAUUGUGCAUGUGUGUGUGUGAUAAAUAUGUAGCCUAUUAUUCGGAUCAUAAAAGUAUCAUUGAGUGUGCAGGAUUUUUCAACCUUUUGAGGAGCGUGAUAUUAAAAUUCGUAACACAAUUAAAUUGCACAUAAAAGAAGGAUAGAGGUGCAGGCUCGAGAUCGGAUUCGAACCUGCACCCCCCGAGUCAACGACAGAGAUUAUAUUUACGGAGUUUUAUCGAUCUAUGGUUUUUUUUUUUUUCGAGUUUGACACCGACAAGUCAUCAUGACAUAUCAUAUCGCGCCCAUAGAUUUAUUUGACAACUGACACUGACAGAUACAAACUAUUUACAUUGUAAAUUUCAUCAAGCGACUUUAAAGGAUAAUUGAAAGUGAUAAUUAUAAGGGAAAAUAAGUAAUAACAACACGUAUAAUUAAUAAAGUGAAGACAGUCGCGGUCUAUUACCGAUGUAAGAUACAAGGGAAGUUCUUCAAAACUUAGUUUGAUCUUGCAUCCGAAAGAUUCGUAGUGACAACUAAACGGUUUAAAGAGUGUUUAUCAGUGUUUAUUUAAGACUUGUGAUUUCAAUGAAUAUAUACACAAUCAGACCGGAAGUUGACAAGUAAUGGAGGGGUUAUUGACGAUACUACACCAAAGAAAGGAAAAACUACGUACUUUAAUUGAGAAUGCGUCCACUCUCAUGGUAACAUUUGAGCAUACUACUACUGAGAAUCUAGCAGCGGUAAUCCAAGAAGCGGAGAUUAUUGCGUCAAGAUUACAAACGUUACUUACAAGACUAACAGCUGAGUUGAUAGAAUACUUCAGACUGAGUACCGAACAAGCAACCGAUGAUAUCUCAGAAAUUUCAACCGUACAAUUAGAGGCAGAAGAUGUGUUGUGCGAGCUUAACGUGAGGAUUAAAGGAAAGAUUAAGGAAAAGGAACAAACUACAAACAUAAAUAAAGAAGCUAAUCCUAACGCAAGAUUACCCAAAUUAUCAUUACCUGAAUUUGAUGGUGAUAUCCUCAACUGGGCUACUUUUUGGGAUCAAUUUAGCUCAAAUAUAGAUCAAAGAAACAUACCAGAGGUAGAUAAACUACUAUAUCUGAAAGCGUCCCUAAAGAAUGAAGCGAGUAAGUUGGUAGAGGGUUUAGAAACGACUCACAGAAAUUAUAAUAUAGCUUUAGCAACUCUGAAAAACAGGUAUGGGAAGGAGAAUCAUGUCAUUGAUGCACACUACGCUGCGUUGUACCGUAUAAAGGCUUCGAACGAUGUGAAUAUUACUAGAAUACGGGAAACAUUCAACAAUAUAGAAAGGCAUCUAAGAGUGCUCCAUUCACUAGGCGAAGACAUAGAUCACAAUCAUUUACGGUUCCUGUUAAUGGAAAAAUUUCCUAAAGAGAUAAUCUAUGAAAUGAAGAUGAAACUAGCCAACGACUCCAUCAGUGAAAUAAGAAAUUGUUUAGAGAAAAUAAUUUCGGCCAAAGAAGAUGCUCUCAGGAUAUCCAACAACACUUCAGAAGAAAGCUACACCACCCAAACGCUAGUAGCAAAUCAGUUUCAAAGCAGAGAGAGAACUUACAAUUACAGAGAUAGGAAUGAGGUUAGAGAUAAUCAAGGCGAUAGUAAUAGACGGGUAUACGAAAUGAAUAGGAACAACUAUAAUAAUAAUAGAAUGAGAUAUAAACGGAAACUCGAAUCCUCUGAGAAGGAGAGAAAUGGAAAGAAACCACGGUCACCCUGUGUCUUCUGCAAAGGAGCUCAUUUUAAUGAUCAAUGUACGGCUUAUCCGACUGCAGAGGAUCGACAGAGGAGAUUAAAAGGUAGAUGUUAUUUAUGUCUCAUGGAAGGACAUACCAGACAGGAGUGUAAAAAGAAAGGAUAUUGUGUGCACUGUCGGACCGAGGAUCUUCAUAAUCGUGCUCUCUGUCAUAAGGAAUUUCCCUCGAGAAUAAAGAGGUUGAAUGAGUCAUCACAAAACAACGCGGAUAACACAAAUGUUAUGUCACAGAUAAACUCGACCGGCACAGUUUUUCUCGAAACAGCCAUAGUCUUUCUCAAGACGGGAGGAACCAGCAGUAGAGACAUAAAGUGCCGUGUACUCUUAGAUUCAGGGAGUCAACGAUCAUAUGUGAGAAAAUCUGUUAUAGAUAAACUAAAAUUACCAAUUGAAGAGACCAAUAGACUUUCGGUUUUCACCUUUGGACAGAAAACACCACAAGAAAUAAACAGUCCUUUAGUAAGAUUAGAACUUCAAACGAGAACUAAUAAAAUGUUAACUAUUUAUACAAAUGUCAUACCAUAUAUAACACAAAAUAUUCCUUGUCCUAACAUAGAAUUAGGUCAAAGAAGAGAUCAGUUUAUUCUAGCAGACGAUGGGUCAUUAUCGACACGUGUAGAUAUUUUAAUAGGAAACAACUAUUAUUUUAAUAUUAUUAACAAAGACAAAGAAGAAAUAAAACCAAAUUUAUUUUUGGUAGAUUCCCACCUAGGAUGGAUAGUAUCAGGAGAAGAGGACUCCAGUCCACGAGACGAGCUAUCGGCAGUCACUUAUCUUCAGGCCUGUGUCGAUACUAGACUACACCGACCAGAUCCACCUUUGGACAAAGGAGAUAUGAACGCGUUGUGGGAUUUAGAAUCCCUUGGGAUUACUGAUUCACCUAGAACUAGCAGCGAAGAAGAAGCAAUUAAGAAUUUCAAUGAGAAUAUGGAAGUUAUAGAUAAAAGAUAUACAGUUUCGUGGCCAUGGAUAGAGUAUCCACCGUUAUUACCCAAGAAUUACGGAUUAGCAGUAGGGCGUCUAACCUCAUUAUUAAAACGUUUAGAUUUAGAGAGCUUAAGAGAAUAUGACAAUAUUUUGAAAGAACAGACCAAUAAAGGUAUAAUAGAAAUAUUAUCACACCCGACUCGUAAAGAAUGUCAUCCAAUACAUUAUUUACCACAUCAUUGUAUUCAACAGAAAGGGAAACCUAUAAGGAUUGUCUAUGAUGCAUCAGCAAAGAUAAAAGAUAACAAAAGUUUGAAUGAGUGUUUAUAUAGAGGACCCCUUAUGUUAGAAGACUUAACCGGGUUAUUGAUACGGUUUAGGGUACACACAGUUGCUUUGUCAGCAGACGUAGAGAAGGCUUUUUUACAAGUUGCAUUGCACAAAAAGGACAGAGAUGUGACUAGAUUCCUCUGGCUUAAGGACUUGACGAAACCUGUCACAGAAGAUAAUAUCAUUUGUAUGAGAUUUUGCAGAGUACCAUUUGGCAUAAUAAGUAGCCCAUUUUUGCUAAACGCGACGAUAAGAUAUCAUUUAUCUAGAAGCACAGAUACAGAAAUUCAAGAUAUGGCUAAAAAUAUAUAUGUUGAUAAUCUAGUCACUGGAACGUCAUCAACGUCGAAAGCUUUAAAUUUGUACAAGAAUUUAAAAGUAACAUUUGAACAAAUGUCCAUGAAUCUGAGAGACUGGAGCUCGAAUUCUAAAGAAUUUAUGUCAAGUAUUCACGAUAAAUUUACAGGGAAACAAAUCAAGAUAUUAGGUUUAAAUUGGGAUUUAGAAAGAGACUCACUGCAAUUGAAGUUUGACGUUAACACUUCAGCUGACAACAAAAGAGAAGUACUUAAAGUGAUCGCUUCUAUUUACGACCCCUGCGGUUACGCUGCGCCAUACAGUUUAUCUGCUAAACUAUUUUUUCAAGAACUUUGGAAAACUAAAACUAAAUGGGAUACUAAGUUUACAAGUCAGAUGGCAGAAGAAUGGUUAAGAGUUCAGAAGCAACUAGAGGUAAUAAGCAAGAUUUCAAUUCCCAGAUGCUACAUAGCAAGCCCUAAAGACCACAAUUAUCAAUUACACUGUUUUACAGACGCUUCCCUUAAAGCCUAUGCUGCAGUAGUAUAUAUAGUAAACGGGAAAGAGAAAAAUUAUGUAAUGGGUAAAUCCCGACUAGUACCUAUAAAGGAUCAAGAUCAUCUGAAGAUACCGCGGUUAGAGCUAUUAGGAGUACUGAUUGGAAGCCGACUUGUUAAAUUCAUUCUUAAGAAUCUUCCUAUAAAAAUAACACAACAGUUCCUUUGGACUGAUAGUCAAAUUGUCAUAGAAUGGUAUAAAUCAUCUAAACUUUUAACACCGUUUGUGUCAAGAAGAAUUCAAGAAAUCAAAAGUAACAAGGAAUUAAUUAUAAAACAUGUACCAUCAGAAUUAAAUCCAGCAGAUAUAGCAACAAAACCAUCGGACAUAUUAGAGAACAAAAGGAGAUGGUUAGAAGGCCCAGAAUUUUUAACACAAGUACCACAAGUAUGGCCGCAGUUAGCACCUACGGUCACUUCUCUUUCGCUCGGGGAGGAUCUUCCGAAUGAGACAAUGGAAGAAGAUAUUGGAACAACAGAAGCGGGUUCUAUGAGAUGUAAUGAGGAGACAGAAAUAAAUGAUACAGAUGAGAAGGAACAAAGUAAAUUAGAGGAAAUAAGAAAGAUACAAAAUUUACAUUUUAAAAAUGAGAUUCAAGGGAAAGAAACUAAUUUAAGCCGGAACUUGGGUUUAUAUCUUGAUAUUGAUGGAAUACUAAGAUGCAGAGGAAGAAUGAAGAAUACCAAUUGGUCUUUUGACAAAAGAUAUCCUAUUCUACUACCACAAGAUUCGGAUUUAACAAAUACAUUAAUUACAAAGACUCAUAAUGAGAAUUACCAUGUAGGUGCUAAUCACACAUUGAGUAUAAUUAGAGAGUCAUACUGGAUUCCACAGGGUAAACGUCAGGUUCAGAAAAUAUUAAGGAAAUGCCCUAUAUGUAUUAAACACGGUGGAGGACCUUAUAAGUUACCACCAACACCAGCUUUACCAUCUGAAAGGGUUAAUUACAGUUCACCAUUCACUUUCACUGGUUUAGACUAUCUUGGACCAGUUGUAGUUAAGAACGGUAUGAGUACAGAGAAAAGAUGGAUUUGUCUUUUUACGUGUUUGGCAAUACGAGCUAUACAUUUGGAAGUAGUACAAGACCUUACAGCAGAAGAAGGCCUUAGAGCUUUAAGAAGAAUGAUAGCUUCCAGAGGUUUACCAAAGGUUAUUACAUCUGACAAUGCCGUACAAUUUAAACUAAUUUCAGAAAUUUUAACACAACCAUAUUGUAUAGAGAACAAAAUACAAUGGAGAUUUAUACCAGCUCUCACACCAUGGUUCGGCGGAUUUUAUGAACGUUUGGUGGGAAUUGUGAAACAUUGCUUGAAGCGUUCAUUACAAAAACAUCUUCUGAAGGAUAACGAAUUUAACACCAUAGUAAGGGAGAUUGAAGCUGUAGUAAAUACACGGCCCCUCACCUGCGUAGAUAGUGAAAUAGAACACAUAUUGAAACCGUCAGAUUUCCUAACAUCAGGUAACUGUAUAUCAAUAGAAGCUACAGAGACAGAUUCUUCAAUACCAGGUACCUCAAGGAAACAGGAUCUUAUACAAUGUUGGAAAAGAGCACUUAAGAUUCGAGAAGAAUUUAAAGAAAUGUUUUCAAAUCGUUAUCUUUUAAGCCUACGAGAAAGAUACCAACAUUCUCAUAAGGAACCAAGGAUUACCUCGAAGCUUGACCCUCGAGUAGGGCAAAUAGUUCAAAUAAAAGGGGAUUCCAAGAACAGAGAAAGCUGGAAGGUGGGAAAGAUAAUAAACCUCAUCAAAGGGAAAGAUGAUCUUUCUAGAGUAGCUCAGGUUAAAGUAGGGGAAACCGUUUAUACCCGAUCUAUUUCUCACUUAUAUCCACUGGAGUUAGAUGAAGAACAAACAUAUAUUACAUUAGAAGAACCAACAUCUGAUAAUAAUACUACGGUUUCUCCAGAAAAGAGUUUCCAAGUUUCAUUCGAAAGAGAUACCAUUGAAGAUGUAACAGAAACCAUCCAAGAAGUAGAAAGUAACUCAUCUGAAAGUAUUGAUAAGGUCAUCCUACAAAAUGAGGAAUUACCUACACAGGCUCAACAAAUAGAAGAGUCCGCUAUAGAAAGCAUACCUACUAACCAGUCUGCAAAUAUUAGAUCUAAGCGAGAUGCUGCUGCUAGGGCCCUUCAAAGGAUCAGAGAGUGGACGCAAAAUUUAGUUACUUCGUUUUUGGCGGGGAGUGUCGUGAAUGAUGUCACGAAAAUUAAUAGUAAUAUCGAGGAAGCCCAGAGGAGCUCAGAGGAUAGCACUCAGAGUGUCCGACAAAGUCAACAGGGUUGCCAAGUCUGAAGUCUGAGAUUCGAAGGUAAGUUUCCGAACGUAUUCUAGAUUAGUAACUUGUCAAAGGUACUUGAUUAAAGGUAAGUUUCUAAACGCAUCGUCGGAAGUGUACAACAGUUUGAACUAUAACAUUAACUGUUGCGGUUGGAUUCCUCACUUUGUCGGUGAUCCGGAGUGCAGCAGGUAGCAGCUUGAACUCCAAUCAUAAUGUGAGUCCCUAGUUUAUAGAUUGAUUCUCAUAAUUUUUCACAAGUGAUAUUUCCUAUAACUACUCCCUUAAUAUUCUUUAAAUAUAUGAAAGGUUUAAAUGUGUAUCAAGUUAAUCAUAAUACUUCCAGAGAUUUAUGUGAUUUUAAGGGAUUGAAUUUAUCUAAUUAUAAUACACGCGUUGGGGGGGUAACCAAGGGUCCCUUAAACAUAUACAAUCAGUUCAAAGGGACCCACAAUAGAGAAAUGGGCCUAGCCAGGUUGGCCGUGCACGCUAAGAAAAGAUACCGAUGAGUGAAAUUGUCCCGCCCCCAAGUCUUUAUAUUAGGGUAGAAUAGAAUGUAGUAUGCCAUGUUGGGCUUCUUUGUUGGUUCUUCUACCGAGAUUGGCGGCCGUUGUCUCCGGUAGAAGUGGACCCACGAACGCCGUCGCGGACGGCUGGGAUCCAUGCAGAUCCCUACUUACGACGUUCUCUCAUUGAGCAGAAACGCUGAAUGGGAGAACGGGCCCCGCAUCCGCUGCAUAAACAGCAAAUGGGUCGGUAAGUUAGAAAGGUUGUAUCGCAGGCCACAUUAUCUCUUCUAGAUAUAAAGGGAUUAAGAACCACGGCAACCUAGUCCCCCAAAUAAGUCCACACAGUUACUCUCCACCAAGGAAGAGAGUCGUGGCAGUUCCGUGAGACCACAGUUCUUUCCGUACAGAGGAAAGCAAAGGCAGAACUCAUAAGUCCACAGUCGUUCUUAAUCCCACUGCCUUAAAGGCCACAGACAUUGACAGACAAGGAAGUAGGAGCGCUCCGUUCAACGAUUCCCCAAAUUGGUCAUGUAGGAAACUAUAGGAUCUAACCCCUGUAACAAAGUAUAAAUUCAUGAAUCAUAUGUAGAUAACAAGUUACGGUCAGGACAACCUAUAUCUAGGGCUUCAACACUACCUUAGUUGCCUAGAGUAACUCGAAGGUCAGUGUUACAGCCGGCAGACACAGUAUCGAGUUGCUGUGUUUGCCCGGAUUUAUUUCACUUUCCAGAAACCAGCUGUGGUGAUAGAACCUUAGAUUAGGAGAGAAGUUUCAUGCGGAGCAGAUCAUAGUUCCUCGACACACCUACAUGUUGGGCAAUCUACUAAAAUAUGUACAUCAUACUACCAUCCCCACAUACCUUUGUACGGGGGUAUACCUGCAUUCUCUGAGCCGACGUGGUACGGGCCGGUGGGCAUUCAUCUUUAUUUACUGUAGAGUAGGGGUAGCUGAAGGUUUACAUCGGGUUUCACGCGGACGAAGUCGCGGGCGUCUGCUAGUAAAAUGUUUGAAUUGAGUAAGGUAGGUAAGUAAGUAACAUUUAAGACAUCGUCACAUCGGUCAAAUCUCAGCGCCUUCGACGGUUUCUCUAUAGCAGCCGCGACUCCCGCCGCGUCACGUGUCCGGUGUCACGACCGCUGCGUGACCUUUCGCGUUGCGUGAUGCGUGUUAAGGAGCGCCGACAAAUACAACAACUACUAUUAAUAAUAACAACAUUUUUUAUUUAUGUAAUUCAAUAAUAAUAAUAAAAAUAUCAAUUCGUAUAUGAAUAUUACACAUAAUUAUGUAGGUAUAGUAAAAGAUAAGCAGUUAUAAUAUAUUUUGGCACGUGAGAACAUUGACUUUG